UGACUUCAAGGCUCCCUGCAGCUCCUUCAUUGUCUGUAUCAGUUCAUCGUUCUUUUAAUUUAAAGCCACUUCUUUCCACUGAGCCCCCCCCCCCAAAGUCAUUCUCAUUAGUAAUCAGGAGCUUGUCUGUUUACAUUAAAAUCUGUUGUAAAAUAACAAGCAACAGUCAUUUGAAGAGAGCGACAGGGAGAAGAUCAAACAUCAUCGGUAUUCUUUAACCCUCCAUACUAGAGCUGGUGGCAGGUUCACAGGGUGUAAAUCAAUCACCAGUGGGAACGGGAUGCCCCAAGGCUUGGCAUAAGUGGGCAUCUCCAAGGGGGCCAGACCCCAGCAGGAGCUCCCCGUACAGUGAGGAGGAAUACACAGAGGGUGUAUUCUGAAAGGCCCAUCGAAAUCUAGAGCUGACAAUGUGGCAGAAUUUCAGAUACCCUUGCAAAAUAAACAAGUUCUAAGGCAAACAAGCUGUCUGGGAAGGUAGCCCUCUGGCCCCACUUCCUCCUCAUCCUUUCUGUGGUCUUAGAGCAGGUGGGCAGACAGGGUUCUCUAUCGGUGCAGCACCCACCAAGCCAAGCUGCCUGACCGCUCUUCCUUUUUUCUUUUUUGUAUAAUAAUUUUUAUUAGUUUUUCAUUAUUAACAAUCCAAUAUAGACCACAUUAAUACAAUACCAAAUCAUAAUUAAAUUAAAGAAGCCAAUUGUCAGAUUCCAAAUUAAACAUUUUGGUUGACUUCCCAUGUUCUGAUUUUAGUUUUUUAGGUCAUGUUGAUUCCUUGUUCCUGCUCCAAUCCACUUAUUUAAUCCAGAUAAUACAGUUCCGAUGUUGAUCCUUUAUUUUAACAGCCACUGAUGUGUUGACUUUCGUUCGUUUUAAAUUGUUCCAUAUCCUUUAAUUUGCAAGAGGAGUUUAUAUCUGGUAACUUUCUGUGUGGAAUGUUUUUUUUUAAUGUUUGACUUUCCUUUCUUGUUGCAAUCAAUCAUUUUCGGCAUUCCUCCCCGCCCCCCACUCCAAGGACUCAAUUUUACUGCGUAGUGACCUUUCGCCAUCUUGCUUUUCUCAAAACCGAAAGUGGUCUGAUGUCUGGCGAAUGGCCAUUACUCCGGGCAGACUUCCAGAGUUUUCUUUGAAUACUUUCCCAUCCGAUAACAAGCUGAUAUCUCGCCAACACCAUAAUAAAUCAAAGUUAGAGUUCUCCGUAAGAGGGUAUUGCCACAGAACAUCCCAAUAUUUUCCACACAAUUCCAUUCUUUCAGUUAAUCCAUAAGCAUUAUAAAGUUCUUGCUGAUUCCCUCUUGCAGUCCAUUAAUAAUUGCAAUCCAUUAAUAAUUACAAUCCAUUAGUAGCUAAUUUUUUCUUCGGUGAAGAGCUGCCAAAUCAUAGAACAGCAUAGUGAAUAUAUACAGAGAAAACAAAGGCAUCUCUCCACCACAUACCAAUCCAAUUACGACAAAAAUGUUCUCCAGACAGAGACCUUGGCACUCGGUGGCUGAUUCAUUUAGCAGGUUAACUUGUCUCCUUCUUCCAUAACAUGCCUGUUUCUUAAGUCCAAAUUCUGAUAUAUCUUAAAAAACAGAAGCAUCUCUGCUCAUGGUGACCUCGUUGGAGUUUCCGAUGUGUGCAGUGCUAUGCACUCAGUGUCCCCUCCCCCCUGCCUGCCUGCUCUUUCUGAGACACUCCAGCCUCAUAUGUGCGAGGGCUGUCCUCUGGGCCCACAUUAUAUUCAGCAGGUAGUUAACAAGACAUGGGCUGAAUAUGGGUGUUUCUGAGCACAAUGAGAGUUCCAUU